ACAGGAAGUUUCAUCUGAACAUGAGGAAAAACUUCUUUACUGUGAAGAUUACAAAGCACUGGAACAGACUGCCCAGAGAGGUUGCAGACUUGCUUCUGGAGAUAUUCAAAACCCACCUGAAUGCUUUCCUCUGCAACACGUUGUGGGGAACCUGCUUUAGCAGGGUGUUGGACUAGGUAAUCUCCAGAGGUCUUUUCCAGCCCCUACCAUUCUGUGAUUCUGUAAUUUGACCAAUGAGAUUAUUUGUUCUGUCUGUCCUACUGAAGAGGGGGAGGGAGUGAGCACCUGGCUCCAUGCCAUGGCUAACUCAACACACUGAAGCAGAAUUAUAAUGGCAGGUGCACUCUUUUAUUAAACAGUUACUUAUUUUUGUACAAAAAUAUGAUGCACUUGCAUUGUACUUCCACUAUAGCCUAAAGGUAAAAUAUUCUGCAUUGACUGAGUUAAGAGAUUACACUAAACCAAGCAAGUUUAGGGAUAUGGCAGAUGUCUUCACUUUUGUUUCCUUUUAUUGCUGAUGAGGAUUACCUUAUGAUUUAACCAACAUCCCGAUUACAAGGACUGAGUUUGGAAGAACAAUGAUGCUUCAGAUAAAAUGUCUUAUCCCCUUUGCAGAAACAGGAAGCUAUGGCAGUGAUGGAAGUGCAAACAUCAGAGGAUCCCAAGAGUACAGCAGUGACUUGAGAGAGCUGAAUGUUAGAACAGCGGAUAUUCAUUGAAGAAGUCAUGGAAGAGUCAUUCCCUGGAAGGGACAGGUUUGCUUUGGCAAGAGUGAACCUAGGAAGGAAAGCAAGCAAUGAACAUAAUGUCCAAAAUA